UUGAAAGGGAAACGAUUGAAGUCAGUCGUGCAGUCAUCAAUUCAGCGGUUAACAUUUUUAUGUUUCCGUGUAAUUUGGUGUCUGUUGGUUAGCAUCAAUUUUGAUUGUUAUAAAAAGGUUAAGGGGAUGUGGCUCCUUCGGGAGUGUUAUAACCCUUAGCGUAAUGUGACGAUUAGGAUUGAGGUUUGCAACGAAUACCUUUUAGGGCAGUUUCGCUGGCCUCUCGUGGAGCCAUAGAGGGUAAGAGCAUGCUCUUACACUCUAUGCGUUCUGCGAAAAGGUUGGAUGAAACUAAUUCGUUAAGGAUUGACGUACU
rnacentral:rRNA from 1 species